rnacentral:rRNA from 1 species
GACGAACGCUGGCGGCGUGCCUAAUACAUGCAAGUAGAACGCUGAAGGAGGAGCUUGCUUCUCUGGAUGAGUUGCGAACGGGUGAGUAACGCGUAGGUAACCUGCCUGGUAGCGGGGGAUAACUAUUGGAAACGAUAGCUAAUACCGCAUAAUAGCAGUUGUUGCAUGAUAACUGUUUGAAAGGUGCAAUUGCACCACUACCAGAUGGACCUGCGUUGUAUUAGCUAGUUGGUGGGGUAACGGCUCACCAAGGCGACGAUACAUAGCCGACCUGAGAGGGUGAUCGGCCACACUGGGACUGAGACACGGCCCAGACUCCUACGGGAGGCAGCAGUAGGGAAUCUUCGGCAAUGGACGGAAGUCUGACCGAGCAAACGCCCGCGUGAGUGAAAGAAAGGUUUUUCGGA